rnacentral:lncRNA from 1 species
CGACCACUGCUGAGAGGCGGGCUCCCCCUGUGCCGGCUGGUCCUGUGGCUGAGGAGAUGUCAUGUGGAUGUCCCCGCACGGCCCACUCCUCCUGGACCCACGGGUCACUCUGGUGGCUUCUUGGUAGGACAGAAAAGAGACGUGACAAGUGGUAUUGGGGCCAAGUCGGAAAGGCAGCACGCUGACUGCUCAGAGCUGUUGUUGCACAAUAAUGCUCUGGGCUCAUUCAUUAGGCAGAAGCUCGUGGGGAUGGGCUCUGGGCAGCGCUGGCCUGAAACACGGAAGCCAUCUGCGGACUAAAAGUUUAAGCCUGGAAUGCCAGCUCCCAUUUACGUUCCCCCUCGAGGUCAGGGAGCCACAGGAAAGCGCAAAGGCUGAGGGAGGAGAGGCCCCCCGGAUGGGUCCCGCAUGCCCUUUCUGCCCUGACCUGGAAAAUUCACCUGGAAAACCCACGAGGCUCCCAGGGCAGAUGGCCUCACGUGACCCAGAUGUCAAGCCAUCGCGAUUCCUAGAGGGAGCUUGGCAGGUGAGGUUGGGGGGUGGGGUGGGGGUGGGGCAGGUGGCAAGAGAAAGGGAAAGAGAGGCCACCUGAAGAGGUGGCCACUGGUGGCUGCGAAAGGUCAGCAAAGAAAUGGGGACCAAGCGUCCUGUCUGUACAGAUGAGUUUCCCAAGGCAUCUGGCUUUGCUUUGCAAACACCGGCUGGCUUCCCUGUCAUUUCCGUCCUCUUGCCUUUGGCCUUGGCUCUGAC